GACGAACGCUGGCGGCGUGCUUAACACAUGCAAGUCGAACGGAAAGGCCCUGCUUUUGUGGGGUGCUCGAGUGGCGAACGGGUGAGUAACACGUGAGUAACCUGCCCUUGACUUUGGGAUAACUUCAGGAAACUGGGGCUAAUACCGGAUAGGAGCUCCUGCUGCAUGGUGGGGGUUGGAAAGUUUCGGCGGUUGGGGAUGGACUCGCGGCUUAUCAGCUUGUUGGUGGGGUAGUGGCUUACCAAGGCUUUGACGGGUAGCCGGCCUGAGAGGGUGACCGGCCACAUUGGGACUGAGAUACGGCCCAGACUCCUACGGGAGGCAGCAGUGGGGAAUAUUGCACAAUGGGCGGGAGCCUGAUGCAGCAACGCCGCGUGCGGGAUGACGGCCUUCGGGGUGUAAACCGCUUUCGCCUGUGACGAAGCGUGAGUGACGGUAAUGGGUAAAGAAGCACCGGCUAACUACGUG
rnacentral:rRNA from 1 species